AGUGAACGCUGGCGGCAGGCCUAACACAUGCAAGUCGAGCGGCAGCGCGGGGGCAACCCUGGCGGCGAGCGGCGGACGGGUGAGGAAUGCAUCGGAAUCUACCCAGUCGUGGGGGAUAACGUAGGGAAACUUACGCUAAUACCGCAUACGACCUGAGGGUGAAAGCAGGGGACCGCAAGGCCUUGCGCGAUUGGAUGAGCCGAUGUCCGAUUAGCUAGUUGGUGAGGUAAAGGCUCACCAAGGCGACGAUCGGUAGCUGGUCUGAGAGGAUGAUCAGCCACACUGGAACUGAGACACGGUCCAGACUCCUACGGGAGGCAGCAGUGGGGAAUAUUGGACAAUGGGCGCAAGCCUGAUCCAGCCAUGCCGCGUGUGUGAAGAAGGCCUUCGGGUUGUAAAGCACUUUUGUUGGGGAAGAAAUCUUCCGGCCUAAUACGCCGGGAGGCUGACGGUACCCAAAAGGAAUAAGCACCGGCUAACUUCGUGCCAGCAGCCGCGGUAAUACGAAGGGUGCAAGCGUUACUCGGAAUUACUGGGCGUAAAGCGUGCGUAGGUGGUUCGUUAAGUCUGCCGUGAAAGCCCGGGCUCAACCUGGAAUGGCGGUGGAUACUGGCGGACUAGAGUGCGGUAGAGGGUGGUGGAAUUCCCGGUGUAGCAGUGAAAUGCGUAGAGAUCGGGAGGAACAUCUGUGGCGAAGGCGGCCACCUGGACCAGCACUGACACUGAGGCACGAAAAGCGUGGGGGAGCAAAACAGGAUUAGAAUACCCGUGG
rnacentral:rRNA from 1 species